UGGGGAAUUUUGGACAAUGGGCGAAAGCCUGAUCCAGCAAUGCCGCGUGUGUGAAAAGGCCUUCGGGUUGUAAAGCACUUUUGUCCGGAAAGAAAUCCUUGGCUCUAAUACAGUCGGGGGAUGACGGUACCGGAAGAAUAAGCACCGGCUAACUACGUGCCAGCAGCCGCGGUAAUACGUAGGGUGCAAGCGUUAAUCGGAAUUACUGGGCGUAAAGCGUGCGCAGGCGGUUUGCUAAGACCGAUGUGAAAUCCCCGGGCUCAACCUGGGAACUGCAUUGGUGACUGGCAGGCUAGAGUAUGGCAGAGGGGGGUAGAAUUCCACGUGUAGCAGUGAAAUGCGUAGAGAUGUGGAGGAAUACCGAUGGCGAAGGCAGCCCCCUGGGCCAAUACUGACGCUCAUGCACGAAAGCGUGGGGAGCAAAACAGGAUUAGAUACCCUGGUAGUCCACGCCCUAAAACGAUGUCAACUAGUUGUUGGGGAUUCAUUUCCUUAGUAACGUAGCUAACGCGUGAAGUUGACCGCCUGGGGAGUACGGUCGCAAGAUUAAAACUCAAAGGAAUUGACGGGGUCAUAGCUGUUUCCU
rnacentral:rRNA from 1 species